CCUUGAACACUUAUCUCAUUCCAGAUCUGGCAAGUACUGAUUUUGAAUGAUUACAUCUUUCUUUAUGCUCACAUGGCACAUUUUUCCUGCCUCCUUCAUGUUUUCCUCUUGUUCCUGAGACAAGAGAUGCAACUGGGACACAUCAGGGCUUCCUUAUGUGCAACCUGAAAGUGUGUGUUGGCAGACUGAGGUACAGCAGUUCAUGCCGCCUUUUGAAGAUGGCAAAAUUGCGCUUGAUGCAGAGUGUUGACAGCUUGGGAAUGCACCUGCAUGUUUUUGCUCUCCCUCUGUCUCUUUACUCUGGUUCUGACUUCCUUGGGAGAGCACUUCCUAAUAAAGAAUUAGCACAUAAACUUUUUCUUGAGAUUCUACGCCUUUUAUAGCUAGGAGAAUAACCAAUUCCAAAAAAAUAUAUAUAUAUAUAUAGACCCUUUGGAUUGCAGAUAACUUCAUUAAAGCUUUGGAAAAGCAAGGACACAUAGUUCUUCAAAACUGUUUCUAUGGAGAUUUAAGGAAUAAAUGUUUGCAGACUUCAGCCUUUUAACUUAAAAAAAAAAACAACCUUUCUGGUUGCAAACACAAUAAAGAUCAGUAAGCCCAGCUUCUGAGUUAUGGUUCAUGGUCUGAUACCCGGAGCCAAGUCCUCUGGCUACUUCAGAAGGAGGGAAUGUAGGUUUUCCUUCUUUGCACUUCCGGUAGAUGCUGUUUACAGAUGGGUGGAAGAUCAGCAAACUUUCUCAGGGAAAGCAUAAUGUGAUUAAAACAUAAAAAGCAAAUAGAAGUUGGCAAGGGAAAGGGAAGUGAGGAAUUUGGGAGUAAUACUAGAUGACUAGAAAUCAGGAUGACUAGAAAUCAGGAGAGCACAGUUGCAUUCACGAAACUGGAUUCAAUAUGGUCACGUUAUAAAGUGAUGGCUGAGGGUGUGGUGAGAGAUGAGACUAGAGAGGAAGGAGAAGACUAAGUCUGAGCUAUUUGAGUUGGUGGCCACUAGCUAUAUGUGGCUACUUAAAUGUAAGUUAACUGUAAUUAAAGAUUUCAGUCUUCAUUCACAUUAGCCACAUUCGAAGUGUUCAGUAGCCCCAUGUGGCUAGUAGCCACUACCUUGGACAGAGCAGAAACAUCAUAGAAAGUUUUCAUUGGGCACAACUUGGAUAGUUUUCUAAAGGUGUUCUAAGGUAUUCUUAUGCAAUAACCAUUUGUAUUUAUUGACAGAUUUAAAGCAGUGUGUUUCUUUCAAAAGCAUCAAUUUAAAGGGAAAGAUGG
rnacentral:lncRNA from 1 species